rnacentral:rRNA from 1 species
GCUGGAAUUGCUAGUAAUGGCAGGUCAGCAUACUGCCGUGAAUACGUUCCCGGGCCUUGUACACACCGCCCGUCACACCAUGAGAGUUGGGAAUACCCGAAGCCUGUGAGCUAACUUAUAGAGGCAGCAGUCGAAGGUAGAAUCAAUGAUUGGGGUGAAGUCGUAACAAGGUAUC